AUUUUAUCAUUUUCUUUUUAAAGUUUUGUAAAAAAGGAAAUGUACAGCGGUUAGGUCCGUAAAACAGCGGCAUGAUGAACUAGACCUGCGGUACCCAUUUUGGCGUUUGGUUUAAAACAGCUAUCUCCUCUUCUCUAUGCUAACUUCUCUUCACCAUUACCACCACCCAACAACACCAGGCGCCAGCACAACCACCACCAUUGUCGCCGCCGCCGACACUUACACCGAUCCCAGUACCAGAACGGCUUCCGCUGCCAGCACCAAAAGAACUAAUAAAAAAAGUUAAUCCAGCACCACCACCACCAUUUCUGAUUAACCUAACAUCUGUAAUCAGGGAAACUCAAGAAGUGAAACCCAGAAUCUCAACUUGAUCGUGGUGAUCCUAGACGUGGGAUUGAUUGAUAAGCUAUGAGAAUUUAAACUAUUAGAGUAAAUUAUUUCAGAAUUACUACUUGGAUCAAAUACACAGAAAAUCAAGCUAUCAGGUGUUAAUUCUGUGGGACUCACUCAUCGGAGCUUGAUUUUCACAUGAGCAUUCUACCUAGCUUUGAUGGUGGUAGUUCCGUUUUGAACAAAAGUUAUAAUGCGAAGUCAGGUUGCAGGUAGAAACAUACAGUCCUUGGUUGGAUGAACUGAAAUAGAUAUAUGAUUACAUAAAUGAACUUUAUCUAAAAACAUCUUAUUUGUAUCAGUUUAAGAAAUUUGCAAUGAAAAAUUUGGUUUACAUUCUCAAUGUUUAUUAUUAGUUUGAAACAUCUGGUUAGCAUAAAUGAAAUGUAUGAGAGAAUAUAUUUUUAGUUGAAUUUAACAAAGUUAUGAA